CCCAUUGGGCGAGGGGGGCUUCCGCCCCCGUCUGCCCGCCCCCUAUAUAACUCCGUGGUUCCUUUGUCUUGGCACCAUCUUGUCCACGUGAGUGCUAGGAGCGGACGCUGCUCUCCACUGCAGUGACCAUGUGGCAAUAAACCCUCUCCAGCAAACUGCAAGGCAAGGUGUGCCAUUCCUUCGCCCCUUUGUCUUCUCCCAGCAUCGGUUAGAGAACUCAGCUAGCCCACGCAGAGGCUCAGCGCCAGAGCCUCCGAACCGUGGCCCCAGUCCGGCCAAGAGGCAGAGCCUAGCCGGGCUCCCUAGAGCUACCCAGGACCGGGGGGAAGAACGCAACGCUGCAAGGUGUAGCAUGUCAAGGCACUGAGAGAAGCUACACAUCCCUGUAUGGGAACUGUAAUAUGCUGCUGUACCAACAAAGCUUUCUGACAGAUGCAGAAGAAACGGCAGUGAAGUGAGUGAAACUGAAGUACUAGGCUAAUACUCCAUCCCCUGCCAAAAAACCCAAACCAAACCAGAAAAAAAACAAAACAACAACCCCCCCCCAAAAAAUACACAGAACCCACCCCACAACCUGUUAGUCUAAUCUGACUAUUACUCUGCACAUGAAAUAGUCUUUGAAAUGUCUUAAAGAUGUCAACUAAAUACCUAAUCAAUAAAGAUGGAAGAACCUUGCCAUGAA